AUUGAACGCUGGCGGCAUGCUUUACACAUGCAAGUCGAACGGUAACAGGGUGCUUGCACCGCUGACGAGUGGCGAACGGGUGAGUAAUGCAUCGGAACGUACCCAGUCGUGGGGGAUAACGUAGCGAAAGUUACGCUAAUACCGCAUACGUCCUGAGGGAGAAAGCGGGGGACCGUAAGGCCUCGCGCGAUUGGAGCGGCCGAUGUCGGAUUAGCUAGUUGGUAGGGUAAAGGCCUACCAAGGCGACGAUCCGUAGCGGGUCUGAGAGGAUGAUCCGCCACACUGGGACUGAGACACGGCCCAGACUCCUACGGGAGGCAGCAGUGGGGAAUUUUGGACAAUGGGCGAAAGCCUGAUCCAGCCAUGCCGCGUGAGUGAAGAAGGCCUUCGGGUUGUAAAGCUCUUUCAGAUGGAAAGAAAACGUACAGGUUAAUACCUUGUGCGGAUGACGGUACCAUCAGAAGAAGCACCGGCUAACUACGUG
rnacentral:rRNA from 1 species